GUGUUCACUGGUCUAAGACAGUCAAGACGUCCAGCCUUUUGUUAUCUUGAAGGACUCAUAGGCCUAAAAUGAAAGAAGGCAAGUGAUACAAAGUUCUAAUUGCUAUAUCACUGGAAGGAGGACGAGGAAGAGGUACUCUCCAGAUAAAGAGUCACCAUACUUGCAGGACAUGAUUUGGUACAGAAGACAUUUCAAGUAUACUGCUGAGGCAUUUCGUGCCAUUGCUCUACUGCCAAGCUGUUUUCCUGCCCAUGAAAAAGACAUCCAAGAUACUAUUAGCCCUGAAAAUCAACAGAUAGAAAGUUUCGGCUGUAAGGCACUACAGCCCUGCUUUGACUCUACUGUAGAAUGCCAAGGAAUGGGUGAACAACCAGUUGUCCUAGGUCUUCACAACUCUUUGUCUAAACUAUGUCUUUAAUUUUCUUUGUUAUGUCUGACUGUGGCACUAUUUUCUCCUGGGGUGCAGCUGGCUGGACUUUUUGUUUUCCUUUCAUGAUAAGUCAAUUGGGCUCUAUUUUUAUUGAUCAGCCUCAAAAUUACUUUGAGUCUCUAUGUACUCAUUAUGUAAUUAGUAAUGUUUGUAUUUGCAUAUUAGAACUUGUCACAGCAUGUUGCAUCUACUGUACACUAACAAGAAGAAGCUGAAUUGAAUAUUUCCGUAACCUAAAACAAAAUUGUUACUUUUUCUGUAAUACCAAGUGAGGAUGCAUAAACUGGUAAAUAAGUGUGAGUAUACAAGCCUUAAUCUUCAGUGGGGAAAAAAAAAUUAUCAAAGAGCAAAUCUCUGGUUCUUUGUGCUGGAUUGUCUCUCACAACAAUUCAACACUAUGUAAAGAUAGAAAUUACAAAAAUCCCUUUUUAAACUAUUGA